AAGGAAUCAAGGGGUAGAUUUUGGAACCACUAGCUCCAUAGCCAAAGAAGGAGCAAUCCAGCAACUUAGGCAUUGAUUCCGCAAGCCGUCCCAGAGCCUCUGUGUAGUCCUUACUUUCCCUAAAUUGCCAUGACUAGCUGGCUCAAGUUAGGCCUUUCUAAUUUACCUGGACCGUUGCUCUCUCCUGUGCAUGGCUGCGGGGAUGAGCACCUUGUUGUGCGUUCCUCCGCUGGGCUGACGGAAAUGGUUUGCAGCCAGACUGCUACGGCACGCGGUCUGGCAUUUAGUCCUCAGAAAUCUGAUUUAGAGAACGUAUACAUUGCAUCACAAUCUAGAUUUCAGAGGAAAGUUUUGGAUAGAAUAACCCAGACCCAAGACUGGGUAAUUUAAAGCCUGGGCGAAAUGGGGCAGAAAGAGCCCAGAAUAUACAGGUCUGAAUCUUGGCUGCGGUGAUGUGGAAGACUGGAGGCGCCAGACGGCUGGCCUCCCUCCAAGUGUUUACCAUGCUGGUGCCAUAGGGCUGGGGCUGGGCAGCCCAUGUGCUCAUUCUUCCCUUCUCUUCUCCUCCUCCUCCCCCUCCAUCUCUCCCCCUCCUCCUCAUGUUUUCUAUAGGCUAGAGAAACUCAGGAACUACUGACCCACAGGGAAGGCAAGCGGAGAUAUGAGACAGAGGAAUCAAACGCUGCCCUGGUGGAGGACGCUGUGGGUUUACAGUGGAUGAUUUCCUCUGCCUAUGAGAUAAAAGGGCUGGCUCUGUACUUUGAACCCCAGCCUCACCCACCUCUGCCUGGGUGUGGCUCUUACUCUCUGGAAGACUUACUCAGGGGAGAGGACAGGACAGUGUGAGGCUUGAAUCUCCAGGAAAUAGAGUCUGUGGGCAGCCAUUGACUCCGAGUCAAUGAGAACAAGGUGUGCUGUUUCCUCUGUGCUGUUUCUUCCCUGCCCCACUCCCCGCCCCUUUGUCCUAUGGUGCCCAGGCUGCCUGCACUGCCCAGAUACCACAGGCCUUGCCAGGGACCUCCUGAGAGGUUUCUGAGGCUUGCAGCCAGUGGUCCCGUUAGUCUGCACGUCUCCGAGUUCCCCUCCCAGAGGAGAAAGCAUAUGCUGCUGGGACCGACUGCAGCUCCUCAUGGAUGCACCUGCCACCGGAAAAUUGUUGUUCAGUCUGGGAUUGCUUUCUCUUCCCAAAGCACAAUCUCACAUGCAGUCAUGAGCCCAGUCCAGCCUCUGGGACAGAAGAUUUCGUGCUUUUAUAAACCAACAGCACUGCAGGUGCUGCACAAGGAAUGGAAAAUCAAUCUGAGUGUCAUUAAGAGCAUAUUCCCUGAAGAAGAUUGCUGAUGACAGUGGAUUUGUCACCCAGCUCAGUGUCUUUUCCUGAGCAAUAGGAAUUUCUUCCAUGGGGAAUGAAACCUAGUGUUGUUUCCCUGUCUGAAUCCAGGCCUUUCACUGACCUGCCAAGUUUUCAUUCCAUUGUCUCACUGUCAUUGGCUCAUGUGAUCUCUACAUUGAUUAAUUAGUUUCAAGCCCCUUCAUAUUGAUCUAAUAAAAUUGACUUGUUUAA